rnacentral:rRNA from 1 species
AACCCGUAGGAUCCGUAAAAGCAUGUACUUGGAGCGAGAAGACGUAGAGCUGUGCUCCUUUGACGUUAGCGGCGGACGGGUGAGUAACACGUGGGUAACCUACCUAUAAGACUGGGAUAACUUCGGGAAACCGGAGCUAAUACCGGAUAAUAUUUCGAACCGCAUGGUUCGAUAGUGAAAGAUGGUUUUGCUAUCACUUAUAGAUGGACCCGCGCCGUAUUAGCUAGUUGGUAAGGUAACGGCUUACCAAGGCGACGAUACGUAGCCGACCUGAGAGGGUGAUCGGCCACACUGGAACUGAGACACGGUCCAGACUCCUACGGGAGGCAGCAGUAGGGAAUCUUCCGCAAUGGGCGAAAGCCUGACGGAGCAACGCCGCGUGAGUGAUGAAGGUCUUCGGAUCGUAAAACUCUGUUAUUAGGGAAGAACAUACGUGUAAGUAACUAUGCACGUCUUGACGGUACCUAAUCAGAAAGCCACGGCUAACUACGUGCCAGCAGCCGCGGUAAUACGUAGGUGGCAAGCGUUAUCCGGAAUUAUUGGGCGUAAAGCGCGCGUAGGCGGUUUUUUAAGUCUGAUGUGAAAGCCCACGGCUCAACCGUGGAAUGGCAUUGGAGACUGUAACAUUUGCUUUUAACCCGG